UGGGGAAUCUUGCGCAAUGCGCGAAAGCGUGACGCAGCAACGCCGCGUGGGGGAAGAAGGCCUUCGGGUUGUAAACCCCUUUCAGGAGGGACGAAGCCUCGGCCGUUAAUAGCGGACCGGGGUGACGGUACCUCCAGAAGAAGCCCCGGCUAACUACGUGCCAGCAGCCGCGGUAAUACGUAGGGGGCAAGCGUUGUCCGGAAUCAUUGGGCGUAAAGCGCGUGUAGGCGGUCCGGUAAGUCGGCUGUGAAAGUCCAGGGCUCAACCCUGGGAUGCCGGUCGAUACUGCCGGACUAGAGUUCGGAAGAGGCGAGUGGAAUUCCCGGUGUAGCGGUGAAAUGCGCAGAUAUCGGGAGGAACACCAAUGGCGAAGGCAGCUCGCUGGGACGUUACUGACGCUGAGACGCGAAAGCGUGGGGAGCAAACAGG
rnacentral:rRNA from 1 species